rnacentral:lncRNA from 1 species
UGGGUGACAGAGUGAGACUCCGUCUCAAAAAAUAAUAAUAAUAAUAAUAAUAAAUAAAUAAAUAAAUAUCAAGGGAUAAGAAUGUACCAAAGGCAGUUGAACACUCAUUCCACAUUUCUUUCCCCCAUCCCCAAUCCCGUGCCAUUCCAAGUUCCAGGAUGUUAACUUCAUCAAAGGACAAGUAACCAUGGAAGUGGUCAGAUAAUUUUUUAAACUAAAAGACUUUGUAAAAGGAAAUGAAACAUAUCUUUCUAAAUAGCAGACACACAAAAGGAAGUUAUAAGGAAAUUAACAGAGAGGUAUUACUUUAGGAGUAAGUUACACUUGGUUUAAAUUUUUGUAGACAGGUUAGUUUUUUGGUUUGGGGGGAAGGGGGUUUGGUGAAGAUUAUUUUCCACCUUAAGUUUGCUAAAUAUGAUACGGUUUUAAAAGCUAAGCUAAAAAUAAUUUAAAAGAAUUAAUUUGGCAGACUUACAGAAUGAAAUUAACCUUUUAUAUGUAUGAUGUAUUCUUAAAUGAAGCCCACUGUGUGAACAGAACCUUCAUUUCUCAAUUAAGAAAACAUUUCCAUUAUAACAACUUUCUAUCAGCUCUACAGACUGUGGCAAAGUAACAACUUUCUCCUUCUUCACUGGUAAACUGGUAGGUAAUCUGAAUCAUCUGCCUCACACACAGGACACAAAUAUUAGUGACACUGCUUGGCUAAGUCCUUUGAGAGGCCUCGAGGGAAAACCCUUUACAAUAUUACGUAUCAACUAUCCACAGCAACUUUUAUAAAUUUACCACCAUCACCUUAUUUUUUCUUAUCCCUCCCUACCUCAACUCCUCAGCUCCCAAGAGGGGCAAUUCAUGGGUUUAAUCUGUAAGUUAACAAGAAAAAAUGUUUUACUAUCCUUUGUGGAAAACCCAUUAUAACCAAAAGUUAAUGCAUGAUCAGAAUCAAUAUUCAACUGCCCAUCCUAAUGAAGAAUAAGCAGUUACUUGACAAAUGGAAGAUAAUCUAAACAUAAUUUGCAUAUGACUAUAAAAUGUGUUUUAUAUUUGUAUAUGAAUAUUGAAGUGUCUGACAUACUGCAAGUUCACAUUGCUUUAAAAUAAAGGAAUCUCAAGAUAUCACCUAAUCAAGAAGUAGAAAAUUACUCAGCUUCCUUAUCCAUGUAACACAGAGUAAUAUAAAAAAAAGUCAGACAGAAUCAAGCCUUCUUCCAGUGAACUGCUUUGUCACUUCACACACGUUUCUUGAAUAUAAUUAGACAUCAGUGAUAGACAAUAAGAAUACGUAUGAAAGUGGACAAGAUUAUUGUUAGUUCCUACCACAGAGAACGUGGUACAUGCUUAACUUCACACCUUACCUGAUUCAGUUUAAGAAUCUGG